rnacentral:rRNA from 1 species
AUUGAACGCUGGCGGCAGGCCUAACGCAUGCAAGUCGAGCGGAUGAAGGGAGCUUGCUCCUGGAUUCAGCGGCGGACGGGUGAGUAAUGCCUAGGAAUCUGCCUGGUAGUGGGGGAUAACGUCCGGAAACGGGCGCUAAUACCGCAUACGUCCUGAGGGAGAAAGUGGGGGAUCUUCGGACCUCACGCUAUCAGAUGAGCCUAGGUCGGAUUAGCUAGUUGGUGGGGUAAAGGCCUACCAAGGCGACGAUCCGUAACUGGUCUGAGAGGAUGAUCAGUCACACUGGAACUGAGACACGGUCCAGACUCCUACGGGAGGCAGCAGUGGGGAAUAUUGGACAAUGGGCGAAAGCCUGAUCCAGCCAUGCCGCGUGUGUGAAGAAGGUCUUCGGAUUGUAAAGCACUUUAAGUUGGGAGGAAGGGCAGUAAGUUAAUACCCUGCUGUUUUGACGUUACCAACAGAAUAAGCACCGGCUAACUUCGUG